GCAUCGGUGGUUUAGUGGUAAAAUUAGCCGUUGCCAAGCGCCUCUCAGCGCCGCAACUUCGGCUAGCCCCGGGUUCGAUUCCCGGCCGAUGCA